UUAGUGGUUGGGGGGUGUGGGGGAGGUAACAAACACAUGAGCCAGGCUUCAUGUGCUGUUCAGUUAGCCAUUUGUAAUACUUCAGUUAAUAUUCACUUCAAAUGUAUCAAGGAGAUAAAAUGCGGAAGCUUCAAUAUCUUUGCAUAAAGCUAGAACAGUCUGAGCUCAAGUGAGUGAGAGAAAUUUCCCCUUUUCUCUCCCCAUCAUCUUCUGGCUUUGGAUAAAAUAAUGGUCUGGACAGCUGCAAGAUGCCACAGCUGAGAGUCAUAACCUGUAAUUGUGAAAGCUUUAAUCACUUCGAACUGGGUUACUUGGGAGCAUUCCUGCUCGGUUAGUAUUUCUCUAUGAAGCUAGGAGAACAUACCUGAAUUUUGGAUUCUCUUAAUUCAAGACAACAAACAAAUGAAGAGUGUAAAUCUGUAAUCAGAGGUAACUGGCACAACGUGGGCAGAUGUGCUCCCAGUGAAUGCUGAUGGUCCAGUAGAGCCUAGCCCAGGAAGCAGUGUGGUUUCCAUCCAGUCUCUCCAGGAAACGAUGCGGUUUCCAUCUGCUCUCUCCAGUGGACACCAGGUUUCAAAACAAACAAGCAAACAAAAACCCCCAAAACAGCUGAAGUGGCUCUGAACAUCUACAACGUGCAGUAUAUGAUUCAUACAGUGAAGAUUUAAGUCUUUGGUGCUGUGAAAAGCUCGCAACAUUAAGUGGGAGGUGCACGAGGAAAGCCAAGUGAAGUCCAUUGCCUGUGUCCAUAGGAAUGGAUUUUUUUCCCCAAAACUGCCUGAAGAAUAGCAAUUCUAGAUUGCGAUUGGAAGAUGGAAAAAUAAAAGUUUCAUGUAGUGUCCUACAAUCAGAAGUGAGGCAAAUGGGACAACAACUUUAAGAACUAAGUCCUAAGUAUCCUUGAACUACAAAGGAAACAGGAAGACUUGCUAUCAGGAUUGGCAUAUGCAUCUUUGUGAUGUUCUGAGUUUGCUUCAUUCAAAGGAAAUUACGGACAUCUUUAGAUAUAUUUUAAACAAAACCCCAGCAACCCCAGAGCUAGUCCUGCAUGUUGAUCCACUGAAGCAGACGUGAGAAGUGCAGAAGAGUGUUAUUAAUCCAGUUGACUCCAGGUGGAGGCAAAGGUCCCUCUGGAUGGAGCAGCUUGCAGGCUCAGGGACUUUGAUCACCCUGUGAAGGUGGCAACUGAGACGAGUUUUAGGCCUAAAUCUGUAAACAGUUCAAUCUUUUCUCAUUAGUGGGACUGAACUCCAGAGGAAAUGCGGUACCACCUUUAAUGACUGCAGCUCAGGAAACUCCCAAAGCAGUGCCAGAACAAGCAGGGAGCUGUGAGGGAGGCUGCCCAGCGCUCUCGGUCCUGGCCAAGACAUAUGCUUCCUUCUGCUCACCGUGAGAUUCAGAAAUGCCCGGUCUGGCUACAGCAGCUUGGCCGUGCAUCUGAGAACUACAGGGAGAAUAAGCAGAGCCUUGGAAGGCACGUAUUACCUCGGAGACUCCAGGGGAGAGAACUGGACACCUUCCUCCUUUGUGCCUGAAGGACCAAAACCUAAAACGGGACAUGGCUGGUGCCUAGCUGUUUGCAGUUCCCUACGCGCCCAGAGAAGAGCACAGCGGUGACUUUGUUUUCCCUGUUUCCAGUUGAGCAAACUCCAAUCAGGAUCUUCUAAGUGGUAUCUGUGCUAGAUGCUUUCAUUUAAAGCACAGAUCUUCUACAAGUUGAACCCUGCUAUCAUGCUGAUACAAAAGCACAGAGCUCUCUUCUGCUUUUACCAAACAGCUUCAGAGAACAGGUCUGGGGAACGUGUUUGGGUUUACCAGUCACCCCUCAGUGAGUGACAGUAGUCAUCUAACUACUGUCAAUUGGACAUCCUUGCUCCAAGGUAAGGAGGAGCUACAGCACUCCAAGUCUAGCUGUGUUGAUGGUUCAGGGUAUAAUAUAUACCUGCAUAAAGAAGCUGUAACUUUUUUCACAGACAACACCUAUGAAACAUCCACUAUUCAUCCACUUCUCCAUUCCCCUCUGUAGUUUCUCUGAACUUAAUGACAGAUGAGUCCCCUUUUUCAACAGUUGACUUUAAACCUUCCCUAACGUCCCAGAACUAACCUCCCAGAAGAUGGAAGUGGUUGUAGUGGAUGAAGCCAGAACACAACAUCCAGAAACACAGUGUGCAUGUUACCACUAUCAAAGCAGAUCGUAGUGGGCAGAACUGGUUCAAACUCUCAUUUAGGAAUCUUUAAUACACCUGACAAUAUUUUGUAUAGUGUCUCGCACGCAAUAUCCGUGUGCCUGCAUCCUAAACCUAUUUUUUUCCCAGCAGAAAAGGUGCACAGUUUAGCAGUUUAGCUAUGAGACAGGAAAAGCCUGCAUUUGCUGCCUGCACCCAUUUUGCCAUGUCACACUGUCAAGCCAAUUACUUUAAUUGAAGUUCUGUCUGGCCCUUCUUGACAGCUUAGCCUCUAAUGGUGAAAAUAUGUAUGACAAUGAUCUGGAUGUGGGAGGCAGAACUCAUUGUUUUCCAACACUCCUGCUAUUACUAUCAAUUUCACAUGAAAGUAGGGCACUUUCUUUGGAAAAAGCAACACAAAACCGUCUCUCUGUUUCUUUAGCAGAGUGGUGGUUCUUUACUCUUCCCGCUCUAAUGCUCUUCUUCAUGGGUGAAAAAUUUAGUCCAGUGCUUUGGGAGAGAGAUGUAAACAUCGCUAAUUGCACUAAGAUUAAUAUUCUAGGAAUUUACACAAAGCACACCAUUGGCAAAUUCAUUAAGCAGUAGAAUAAUGCCAUUGGACAAAUACCAUAGUGCCAAACUGGUUUUUACCAUGGUGGAAAUGUUUUGCUCUUCAUGCAACAACAGUGCUUGUAAGAUCUGGAUUAACUAAAGACCCUAUGCAAACACUGAAGAAAAAAAAGUCCACGAGUAAUUGGUACAAUUACAAAGGCAACAGGAUAUCAGAAAAUGGCUGGGGACAGUACAGUACAUUAAGCAAUAUUUCCAUGGGUCCUACGUGUUUGUACACCAGACCUUGUCCUGCUCAUUCCUUCCAAUUCUGCAUUGGAAACUUCUCUGUAGCCUUCCAGUCUUACUUAACAGCUUGCUUUCUGCUCAGUGAGAAUCGGGAGGAGUGAAAGAAGAUGAAAAGUACAUAGUUUAUGCAGCUCCCCUCUUUUUUAUUUUCCUCUGCCUGUGAAGGAAUGAAUAGCUAUUUUAGGGCAGUGAAAAUCAUCAUUUUGGUAUCAGUCUUAAGACUACAGCUAUUUUAUUAAACAGAAUCUACAUUCUGUCCUGCUGAUCUUCCAGAAUUGGGCUGUUCAUACUUUUUUCCAGCACAGAUCUCAUCUGUCCUCAACCAUUUUCACAAAAUUUUGCCUCCAAACAGGGAAAUAACUACACACACAGAAGCAGGUAAGUUCAAGUGAGUUGUCAUUGUUUUUCCCAUCCUCAAAAUAACUUUUGUUUCUUUUCUCCCCCCUGUUAGCUCUGUUUGCAUCUUUCCCAGCUUUAAAGGCCAGUUCAUAGAGAGGGAAAAAAAUAAGUAUACACAAUGACUACUGAGCGGUUAUAAAUACUGAUUUGGGGUAUGCUGCUUUGAUUCAAGUAACUGUCCACCAGCUCUGCUGGAAAGUUAGUUUAAAGAGAAAAGAAGAAAAUUCAAACCUCUCUACACAUUCAGUAGCUCUUAGUCCAGUGGCAGGCAAGUGUCAAAAAUAGUCUCUGUCCCUGCAGACAAGGCUUUCUGGAAUUAGGGUAGUAACUGUAUGAGACAGAAAACCUAUACAGUAUAUGCAGACAUAGAGGAAGGAUUUGUCUACUAUUCUCAAAGUGCAGACUUUUUAUGUAUUUGUGUUUAUUUUUUAAGGGGAAGAGGGAAAUUUCCAACA